GGUGCUAUAAAAAAAUACUAAUAACCUUUUACCAUUCACAUAUUGUCAACACUCAUUAAGUUUACAUCAAUACUCCUUACCAAUAUCAUUGUCACCCAUAGUAAGGUUCAUAAAAUAAAAUAAACCUAACCAUGAUAAUUCCCUCCUUACUAGAAUACAAUGUUUACAUUGUAGUCUACCCUAACAAGAUUACUCUAUACUUUUAUACCAACCUCUGCUUCACACUCAUUAAACAUCUGUUAUUUUAAGAUUAACUUGUAAUGCCCAAAUGUAUAAAAUACAUCAGCCAAUUCUUAAGGAAAAACACAUUUAGGUGGGCACAAUACUACAGCCUAUUACCACCCAAAACUUAAAUCCAUUGCUGUUGUAGCCUUGUUUUAUCAUGAUCAUGGUCACAGCUUUAUCACAAUUGCCUAUUCUCUAUUAUUAGAAUUCAUUAGAUUUAGGCAACUGUCUCUUUUGAGUAGGCUACAAGUAAGAAAACAAACACUUGCAAUUGUUUACAAGCAUAUAUUCAGUUCAUGAUUCAAAUACGAUUCCAUUCUCACUAGGUUAUUCCAGCAGAGCAUUUAGGCCACACAACGUCUUAACUUCGAAAUCACCUCGCUAUUUAUGUUGAAUAAAUUUGCCUUUCUACAUAGUAAAAAAGGGGGUGUAAAAAGUACAGCGUUGACUUAUUUUAACCCAGGAUGAGUAUUUUCAACAUUAUGAGAAGUCAAUGAGCUCUAGUUUCGGGAAUUAAAUCGGAAUGUAAAAUGAUGCAGUCAUUGCAGUGUAAAUUCAACUCAAUUCAGUGGAAUGAAAAAACGCAGCAAUCCUCUGCUGUGGUUGAUCAUUAUUUUGACUUGCUUGUCAACGCAAUUGCUCCUGCACAUCCUCAAAUAAUCAAGUAAGUAACGUCAACAACUAAUAGCAAAGUUUUCACUUUGACAUUUACUUUAUUAUAGAGUAAUAGCUUAUUGAUGUUAAUUACGCGCACAAUUUUUGUUUCAAGCUUCUGUCUCAUCUGUUUGCGAGUCAGCAUCGAGCUCCCCUGUGUGGCGGUCGUAGUCUAACUAGCACUAACUAGCUAAUGUUAGGUAACUAGCGCUCUGAUAUGCACUGUUGAUGUUAUAAUUUAGGCAUACGUUUUUCCAUAUUGUUUGAGUUGAAAACUGCCCAUUAGCGUGCUCCUAUUGUGGAUGUAACAUGUUCUAGCUCAAUGUAACUCGCUAACAUUAGCCGUAACCAAACGUCAUCAUCACAGGGAUGCGUGGCAGCCAUUUUCAUGUUCGUUAACGUUAGCCCGCGAAAGACCGCAUUCACGCUGUCAGGUCACAAAGCCCUUGCACACCCCCCAUGCUUUUUGCUUUCAUCAAAUUCAGCAUACCAGAGGCAAGACAGUCUGACAUCAAAGUGUAUGACCAGUCUCACACAGAAAUUGACAGAGGUGUUUGAAGAGAUUGCAAAGGAGUCACCUGGCACCUUCUGGAUCACGAAGGACUUGCCUCUCAAUUAUCAUCGUCAUCCUCUGUAAGAUCUGAUGACACUAUAAUUCUGAAUUUCACUGUGUGUGACCAUCAUGAAGAAGCAGCCACUGGUGAAGGGAGCCAACCCAAAAGACAGUGCCGGAUAAACUGAGGCUAAAGUGGUAUUUGGUAGAAACUACUGUUUGGUGUAAUCUGUAUGUUUGUUUCAUAUUAUGGGAUUGGGGAGUGUUCUUGAGCUAAUUCUUUUCAAUUUUUACUAUUAAAAAAAUAAAAUCUUAUAGUUG